GGUUGCAAUCAUCUUGUUGUUAACUCGGACAAUAUGGAAAUGAUUGACACAAUGAAGAAUGGAGGAUACUCGGCGGGAGCGGUUUUUGAUGAUUGUUAUAUUUUGGCUUGUGAUUUUUCUCUUGUUAGAUUUGAACAUUGCAAUAGGGAAGCAAAUAAGGUGGCUCAUGAAAUUGCUAGGCUAGUGAAAUUUUCUGUCUCUAGCGAUAUUGUACGUUUUCUUAUUGAUGACAUAACAAUUAUUUCUAAUUAA
rnacentral:rRNA from 1 species